AGCAGUAGCCGCGGUAAUACGUAGGUGGCAAGCGUUGUCCGGAAUUAUUGGGCGUAAAGGGCUCGCAGGCGGUUUCUUAAGUCUGAUGUGAAAGCCCCCGGCUCAACCGGGGAGGGUCAUUGGAAACUGGGAAACUUGAGUGCAGAAGAGGAGAGUGGAAUUCCACGUGUAGCGGUGAAAUGCGUAGAGAUGUGGAGGAACACCAGUGGCGAAGGCGACUCUCUGGUCUGUAACUGACGCUGAGGAGCGAAAGCGUGGGGAGCGAACAGGAUUAGAUACCCGUGUAGUCCCUGUCUCUUAUAU
rnacentral:rRNA from 1 species